rnacentral:rRNA from 1 species
AGAGUUUGAUCCUGGCUCAGAUUGAACGCUGGCGGCAUGCUUUACACAUGCAAGUCGAACGGCAGCAUAGAGAGCUUGCUCUCUGAUGGCGAGUGGCGAACGGGUGAGUAAUACAUCGGAACGUGUCCGUUUGUGGGGGACAACCACCCGAAAGGGUGGCUAAUACCGCAUAAGACCUGAGGGUGAAAGCCGGGGACCGCAAGGCCUGGCGCGAACGGAGCGGCCGAUGACUGAUUAGCUGGUUGGCGGGGUAAAGGCCCACCAAGGCGACGAUCAGUAGCUGGUCUGAGAGGACGACCAGCCACACUGGAACUGAGACACGGUCCAGACUCCUACGGGAGGCAGCAGUGGGGAAUUUUGGACAAUGGGGGCAACCCUGAUCCAGCCAUGCCGCGUGCGGGAAGAAGGCCUUCGGGUUGUAAACCGCUUUUGUCAGGGACGAAAAGGUGCGGGUUAAGAGCUAGCACUGAUGACGGUACCUGAAGAAUAAGCACCGGCUAACUACGUGCCAGCAGCCGCGGUAAUACGUAGGGUGCGAGCGUUAAUCGGAAUUACUGGGCGUAAAGCGUGCGCAGGCGGUUGGGUAAGACAGAUGUGAAAUCCCCGGGCUUAACCUGGGAACUGCAUUUGUGACUGUCCGACUGGAGUAUGUCAGAGGGGGGUGGAAUUCCAAGUGUAGCAGUGAAAUGCGUAGAUAUUUGGAAGAACACCGAUGGCGAAGGCAGCCCCCUGGGGCAAAACUGACGCUCAUGCACGAAAGCGUGGGGAGCAAACAGGAUUAGAUACCCUGGUAGUCCACGCCCUAAACGAUGUCUACUGGUUGUUGGAGGGUAAAACCUUCAGUAACGAAGCUAACGCGUGAAGUAGACCGCCUGGGGAGUACGGUCGCAAGAUUAAAACUCAAAGGAAUUGACGGGGACCCGCACAAGCGGUGGAUGAUGUGGAUUAAUUCGAUGCAACGCGAAAAACCU